UUGGUUAGUUUGGCUUAUCUGUUUUCUCUUCUAAGGAUUGGCUCGAUAUGGAGGAAAUCUGAAAAUGAUUGUGAAUUUUUACAAAUAGGAAUCAACAAAACAUUAAAUCAAAAAAAAAGAAAGAAAAUGAAGACCAGAGUCAAUGGAUCCCUGCUGAAGCAAGAACUCUUCUGUUCUCAUUGCUGAAGGAAAGAAAGGUCCAGUAUCAUUAUACCAAGCUACUUCAAUAUCCCCACUGGCAUUUUCUACAAAAAACAAGACUGUAUUCAGAGGGAAAGACUGUAUUCAAAGGGAAUCAGAGACCCACAAUACUAGUUGCACCAUUAAAAAUUGUGCAAACAACAGAAUUCUGUAGAGGAAGGCAGAGUGAAAACCAAGAGUGGGGAAGAUCUUCGAUGGGCUCACUUCUACACCUUCUGAGUGUGAAAUGCCAACAGAGCACUGAAAACCUCCCAAGUUCCCUAUCCAGAACUCCAGCCUAG
rnacentral:lncRNA from 1 species